UUGUGAGGUUAAGCGACUAAGCGUACACGGUGGAUGCCCUGGCAGUCAGAGGCGAUGAAGGGCGUGCUAAUCUGCGAUAAGCGCCGGUAAGGUGAUAUGAACCGUUAUAACCGGCGAUACCCGAAUGGGGAAACCCAGUGUGAUUCGUCACACUAUCAUUAACUGAAUCCAUAGGUUAAUGAGGCGAACCGGGGGAACUGAAACAUCUAAGUACCCCGAGGAAAAGAAAUCAACCGAGAUUCCCCCAGUAGCGGCGAGCGAACGGGGAGGAGCCCAGAGCCUGAAUCAGCAUGUGUGUUAGUGGAAGCGUCUGGAAAGGCGCGCGAUACAGGGUGACAGCCCCGUACACAAAAGCGCAUGUGCUGUGAGCUCGAUGAGUAGGGCGGGACACGUGGUAUCCUGUCUGAAUAUGGGGGGACCAUCCUCCAAGGCUAAAUACUCCUGACUGACCGAUAGUGAACCAGUACCGUGAGGGAAAGGCGAAAAGAACCCCGGCGAGGGGAGUGAAAAAGAACCUGAAACCGU
rnacentral:rRNA from 3 species